rnacentral:lncRNA from 1 species
ACUUUCUGUCCGAGAAUAGAAUGUGGAUCAUUAACAAAUGUGAUGAUUAAAGAAGAGGAUAAACAUCGACAUAUACAAGUGGUACUACUAGUGGGAUUUUCUUGUUUUACUAGCUAUGCCACUGUUGCUCAGCAUCUAUGGCGAUGCAACUUUUCUCAGAUCAACCUGUACUAUGCAUUCAUGUAGAUUCAACAUAAAUUGAAGGGUAGAAACGUAACCUUGACACAAUUAUUUCUCCUUCUACCUGAUUUUACACACUCAUUUCCGCUUCAAUCAAUAAAAACAAAAACAGUUCGUCAUCGUCUACAGUGGAACCUGAGAAACAAACACAAUGCAAGUGAAUUUUGUUUUUUAGAAGAGUGUCAAUAAGACUUUUUCAAAGAAAUUAUAACAGAAAGUAAAAAGAGAGAGAAGGCUGAAAAAAGACAACAGAAAAAAGAGAGUGAAUUACUCCAUUAUCCAUCUCUCCAAUCUCUCCCUUCCCCACUCCCACUGAUUCUAACGCCGCCUCCAAAAACAGGUUCCAGAGGCAUCCACUCCGUCAACCCCCGUCGCCAGCAGCCAAGAACCCUAGCCCUGCUCCAACUGCUACCUGACUCCGCCUUCCUAAGCUGAAGCUUUAGUCGAAGGAGAAGAGAAACAGAAGCAACUUAGAGAAACCCAUUUCUGAUUGUGGCAAUGCACAUGAGGUGCCUCGGAAGCCGUAAUUCAAAUGUGAGAUUAAUUGAAUUGU